GAUGAACGCUGGCGGCGUGCCUAAUACAUGCAAGUCGAGCGAACAGACGAGGAGCUUGCUCCUCUGACGUUAGCGGCGGACGGGUGAGUAACACGUGGAUCACCUACCUAUAAGUCUGGGAUAACUUCGGGAAACCGGAGCUAAUACCGGAUAAUAUAUUGAACCGCAUGGUUCAAUAGUGAAAGACGGUUUUGCUGUCACUUAUAGAUGGAUCCGCGCCGCAUUAGCUAGUUGGUAAGGUAACGGCUUACCAAGGCAACGAUGCGUAGCCGACCUGAGAGGGUGAUCGGCCACACUGGAACUGAGACACGGUCCAGACUCCUACGGGAGGCAGCAGUAGGGAAUCUUCCGCAAUGGGCGAAAGCCUGACGGAGCAACGCCGCGUGAGUGAUGAAGGUCUUCGGAUCGUAAAACUCUGUUAUUAGGGAAGAACAAAUGUGUAAGUAACUAUGCACGUCUUGACGGUACCUAAUCAGAAAGCCACGGCUAACUACGUG
rnacentral:rRNA from 1 species